rnacentral:precursor_RNA from 11 species
CUCUUCAAGUCUCGCCACCACUUGUUGCCGGGUGAUUGUGUGUCUGGUCCAUGUUAACUUGAUUUGGCGACCGAACUGAAAAUUGUUGGUUGAUAAUUUCAUGACUAGAUCCACACUCAUCCAGUGACACAGUUGGUAAUUCGUCCGCUUUUC